rnacentral:tRNA from 1 species
AAAUAAGAAGUAAAAUAUUACAUUUAGUUUCGACCUAAACCCUUGGUGCUUAAUACCCUUAUUUU